rnacentral:rRNA from 1 species
CCUACGGGGGGCAGCAGUGGGGAAUAUUGGACAAUGGGCGCAAGCCUGAUCCAGCCAUGCCGCGUGAGUGAUGAAGGCCUUAGGGUUGUAAAGCUCUUUCAGUGGGGAAGAUAAUGACGGUACCCACAGAAGAAGCCCCGGCUAACUUCGUGCCAGCAGCCGCGGUAAUACGAAGGGGGCUAGCGUUGUUCGGAUUUACUGGGCGUAAAGCGCACGUAGGCGGAUUGGUCAGUUAGGGGUGAAAUCCUGGAGCUCAACUCCAGAACUGCCUUUAAUACUGCCAGUCUAGAGUCCGGAAGAGGUAAGUGGAACUCCUAGUGUAGAGGUGGAAUUCGUAGAUAUUAGGAAGAACACCAGUGGCGAAGGCGGCUUACUGGUCCGGUACUGACGCUGAGGUGCGAAAGCGUGGGGAGCAAACAGGAUUAGAUACCC